rnacentral:rRNA from 1 species
UACGUAGGUGGCAAGCGUUGUCCGGAAUUAUUGGGCGUAAAGCGCGCGCAGGCGGUUAUGUAAGUCUGAUGUUAAAGCCAGGGGCUCAACCUCGGUUCGCAUUGGAAACUGUGUAACUUGAGUGCAGAAGAGGAAAGUGGUAUUCCACGUGUAGCGGUGAAAUGCGUAGAUAUGUGGAGGAACACCAGUGGCGAAGGUGACUUUCUGGUCCGUAACUGACGAUGAGGCGCGAAAGCGUGGGGAGCAAACAGG